rnacentral:tmRNA from 1 species
GGGGAUGUUUUGGUUUUGACAGCAUCAGACAUUGGACAGUAAGCACGCCGGGCUCUGUAGGCCAGCCCGUUAAUCUCGACCUUCGAACAAUUAGUUGGCAACAACUCUUAUGCACUCGCUGCGUAGUCUGCUAAGCACACUACCUUAAUCCGCGGGGCCAAGGCUGCCUCGCCGACGAGUAUCCCUCCAGUCUUUAUGCCGGUUAUGACUGGAACCCGGGGUAUCAUCCAAACCGGCUGCCCGGAACGACUCCUUUAAGUUCCGCCAAGCCUUAAAGGAUAAGCCGUGAAUGGCCUGUCAGACGGCAGUUCCCGGUCGAAAAACAAAGUCAGACUAAGCGUGUAGAAAGCUCUCUGGUGCGAUGUUUGGACGGCGGUUCGAGUCCGCCCAUCUCCACAA